rnacentral:misc_RNA from 1 species
AUCAAUCAUAAAGCCACUAGCACCUUUCUCAGCUGGUGCUUGGACAAAUACAGGUGAGGGGGGUGACAAAAGUGCCAGACCAGUGCCAUGAAGUGCAGGAUGCAAAUGGUUUUGCUGACCAUUUCCGUGUGCACCAGUCAUGGCAUAAUUUCUGUUGUGCAAGCUGGGUGAAUGCUUAGAAAUAAGAGAAGACUGCCCACUUAUCUUAUGAUACACUGAUGGAUGCCAUGAUCCAUCCGCCAUGUUUGCAACUCAAGAUGGUGACCUGAGAGGUCGCCGAAGAGUAAGAGAGCGCCAGCACACUCGCGAC